CCCUGCACGCCUGCGAGGUGAAGAGCUCAGAGUCCGGGUGUUCUCCAGUGGGACAUUUUCAAAUCAUGCCUCUGGGGUUCCUCAGCACCAACUGGGCAGCUCUCUCACCUGCUCUGCUCGCUCACGUGGGAGAACCCCAACCAGAACAGCCCAGACUACCAGUAUGAAAUGAUGGACUCACAUUGGAGCCUGAACCAACUCUUCCUCCCUUAAGUUACCUCUUGUCAGAGACUUGAGUAACUAACCAUCAACUGACAACCUGAGCACCAUCGUUCCUGCUAGUGACUGGUGCCGUACUGGUGGGUCCAUAGCUGCUGCUGUAGUGGGUGGGGCUGGCAGAUGCUGCCUGUGGGUGGCAGCUCCAUCCUGUCUUCUACUUUAAUUGUGCCUGUUUAUCUAUUGAAAUAAAAUUAGUAAAUUAUA